GAUGAACGCUGGCGGCGUGCCUAAUACAUGCAAGUCGAGCGAACAGACGAGGAGCUUGCUCCUCUGACGUUAGCGGCGGACGGGUGAGUAAAACGUGAUUAACCUCCUUUUAGGACUGGGAUAACUUCGGGAAACCGGGCCUAUUCCGGGUUAAUAUUUUAACCCCCAUGGUUCAUUGGUAAAAACCGGUUUUCUUUUACCUUUUAGUGGGUUCCGCGCCGCAUUAGCUAGUUGGUAAGUUAACGGCUUACCAAGGCAACGAUGCGUAGCCGACCUGAGAGGGUGAUCGGCCACACUGGAACUGAGACACGGUCCAGACUCCUACGGGAGGCAGCAGUAGGGAAUCUUCCGCAAUGGGCGAAAGCCUGACGGAGCAACGCCGCGUGAGUGAUGAAGGUCUUCGGAUCGUAAAACUCUGUUAUUAGGGAAGAACAAAUGUGUAAGUAACUAUGCACGUCUUGACGGUACCUAAUCAGAAAGCCACGGCUAACUACGUG
rnacentral:rRNA from 1 species